rnacentral:lncRNA from 1 species
CAAUAGAAAGUUGUGCCUGUAACUUGAUAUAAUUUAAAGUAUAGUAGUGGCCAGUUGUCUGCUGCUAGGGACACACGUAAGGCAGUUUAAAAUGUUUUUGAACUAAUUUACACUCCAGGUGACAAAAUAAUCUGUACCACAAACCCCCACGACACAAGCUUACCUAUAUAACAAACCAGCACAUGUACCCCUGAACUUAAAAGUUAAAUUUUAAAAAAAUUAAUGUUUUUGCAUCGAAAAUAACUCAUUUCUGUAUGGUUAGAGAAAGGCUUGUUCUGAUUGUCACUAUCAGUAGCUGCUUGGACUUUAAAAUUUCUGUUCUCUGCCCUGUAAUUUGUUGUGACCUAAUCAUGUGCUAUGCACCAGGCUAAUUUCCAGGGGCCUUGCUGCUUCCAUAUCAUGUUUCCUUUUCCUUAAUUAGCCCUUAAGGAGCAUUCCAUUUCUUUCUUUUUUUUUGAGAGACAAGAUCUCACUGUCACCCAGGCUGGAGUGCAGUGGCACAAUCACUGCUCACUGCAGCUUUGAACUCCUGGGCUCAAGUGAUCCUCCUGCCUUGGCCUCCCAGGUAGCUGGGACUACAGGCAUGUGUCACCACUCAUGGAUAAUUUUUAAAGUUUUUGUAGAGACAGGGUCCUGCUAUGUUGUCCAGGCUAGUUUCAAACUCCUGGGCUCAAGCAGUCCUCCCACCUUAGCCUCCGAAAGUGCUAACAUUGCCUUUCCCUUGCCUGGUGCACAAUUCACAUUUGUAGAGCACUUCACAGUUUGUAAAAUAUAUUUUCAUUAAAUGCAAUAGUUCCACAAUCCACAGGCACUGGGGAUGACCCCAGCCAUAAAAAGAGUGGGGCUGUCCUCAGGGGAUAUGAGAUCCCACUGGCCACUUUUCUUUCCCUCCUCUGAGGUGAACCCAUCUUCCUUCUGAGCCCCGAAUGGCACUUCUGUGCAGAGCUUCUCUUUGAGCACAGAGGAAGGCGGAGUCCAGUCUUGGUGUUACAGAGAACUGCACACACAGG